rnacentral:rRNA from 1 species
AGAGUUUGAUCCUGGCUCAGAAUCAACGCUGGCGGCGUGCCUCAGACAUGCAAGUCGAACGCGAAAGGCCCCUUCGGGGGCCGAGUAGAGUGGCGUCCGGGUGAGUAACACGUGGGUAAUCUACCUUCGGGUGGGGAAUAACAGCCGGAAACGGCUGCUAAUACCGCAUAAUGCAGCGGCACCUAAUGGUGACAGUUGUUAAAGCGGGGGAUCGCAAGACCUCGCGUCUGAAGAGGAGCCUGCGGCGGAUUAGCUAGUUGGUAAGGUAACGGCUUACCAAGGCGAUGAUCCGUAGCCGGCCUGAGAGGGCGGUCGGCCACACUGACACUGACAUACGGGUCAGACUCCUACGGGAGGCAGCAGUCGGGAAUUUUGGGCAAUGGGCGAAAGCCUGACCCAGCAACGCCGCGUGAAGGAUGAAAUCCUUCGGGAUGUAAACUUCGCAAGAACGGGAAGAAUAAGUAAGAGCUAACAUCUCUUACGAUGACGGUACUGUUUGUAAGCUCCGGCUAACUCCGUGCCAGCAGCCGCGGUAAUACGGGGGGAGCAAGCGUUGUUCGGAUUUACUGGGCGUAAAGGGCGCGUAGGCGGCCACCGCAAGUCGACUGUGAAAUCUCUGGGCUUAACCCAGAACGGUCAGCCGAUACUGCGGGGCUGGAGUGCAGAAGGGGCAACUGGAAUUCUCGGUGUAGCGGUGAAAUGCGUAGAUAUCGAGAGGAACACCUGCGGCGAAGGCGGGUUGCUGGGCUGACACUGACGCUGAGGCGCGAAAGCUAGGGGAGCGAACGGGAUUAGAUACCCCCGUAGUCC